ensembl:lncRNA
AAAAGUAAAAACCAAAGGCACAAGACAUUCUUCAUACCUCACUCUUCCUAUCCCAGUCUACUGCACCAUUAUAAAAAAAAAAUCCCUAAGGCCUCUUUUUCUCUUGCCUUGCAGCUUCUGAGGAGAAAGUGUGUGUGUGUGUGUGUGUGUGUGUGUGUGUGUGUGUGUGUGUGUGUUGGUGGUGGGGGGAGGGGGCAGUUUCACCGCUGUCGGGCGCCCUUCCUGCCUGACCCUCAACUCGUGGGGUACAGGCGCUGUUACCAACUCCAGGAUCCGGCCUUUUCAGUCCAGGGAAAACUCCCAAGGCCCCAGGGGGCCAAGAGGCCUGCAAGUCGCCUCUCGCUCUGUAGGCUCCGGGCCCUGCUCCCUCUGAGGUCCCCGGUUCGCCCACCUCCGAAGGCAGCCGUCGCGGACACGGUGGGCGCCUGGCUCCGUCCCCGCGCCCCUAGCGCCCCACGUCUUCCACGCCCCCAACUGUCCUCCCUUCUCUGGCGGCCCGAGUCCCGGCUGGUGUCGGAGGGCCGGCAGUCCGGCGGCGGGUCCCAGGUUCAGCCUCCCGGCCUCCCUUCCUUCCCGCCUCCGCCUUUCCUCGGCGAGGGUGCGGGGCCCGGCUCGAGGCGCUCCUCUUGGGGUCCUCGGCAGAGCGCGGCCGCCCCAGCCGGAGGAGGGGGCCUCGGAGGCGGGGUGCCAGCCCCGGCUGGGCGGGAGGGGUGCGCACUGCGGCGGAGGGGCCGUGACUCACCGCCUGUAACCCAACACCCGCCCUGCUCCCCUCCCCCAGCCUCUCCUCCGUCUCCGGCCUGGCGGCCGCGGCGACACCUAAAACAAAAUGAAGGGGCACCCGGGCCCGUGGCGCCCCCGGCCGGAUCGCCAGCGAGCCCCGGCGGCCUCUGGUUCGGAGCGCUCCCGCUUCCCCCGCCCUGGGGCUCGGCGAGCCGCCGCCGCCGCCGCCCGGGCGCCAGUAGGCGGGGAGGCCGAGCGGCCGGAGCAGGAGACGGCGGUGGCGGCGGGCCCGCGGUAGCUGCGGCGGGCGAGCCUGGGGAGGGGGCGCCCGGGCUUGGAAGCCUCCGGUCCGGGUCCCGGCCGAGCGAGGACAAAGCCCCCUGGCCGCCGCUGCGGCCUACCCCGCGCGGCACAAAGGGCGAGUCGCGACACGCACCCAUCCCCCUCCCAGCUCGGGUGGCCCCGGGCCCCGGGUGGCGGCGGGGAGGUGGGGAAGCCCCGGCCACGCCGCCCCUCGCUCCCCUCCCCCGGGGGCCGACCGAGCGCGCCGCCCCCGCCCCCGCCCCGUCUGCGCGUCCUCCCGGGGAGGGGUCGGGGGGCGCGGCGCCCCACAUAACACUCCCCCGCCUGCGCUCGGAGCCACCCCUCUCCCCUCCCUCCUGCAAACACCGCCGCCUCCCCUGCCACCGCCGCCACCUCGCCCGACGCUCCGCAGCUCGCAGCGGCCGGGGGGCGGUGCGCGGACCGUGCGCGCCGGGGGCGCCAGAUGUGCAGUCUCCGCCGCCGCCAGUGACCGAGCCGCAGCCCGAGCGGGACCGGGCCACCUCCCCGAUGCUGCGGGGGCGACCUUGA